UCACGUCCUUCCCCACAAAUCCUAACCCCUCCCGUUGCUUUACCAAAUUCCCCCACUCCCUCACGUUACAAAUCCCAACAACCAUAUCGUGAAGAAGGCUCUUUUAAAUUCUUUGGCACAUGAGAAAGGGGAUCCUGCUAUUUUAGAGAAGACAACAAGAGAAAGGGGGGAGAUCUUUCAAAAAAGGAGAAAAGAGGCAACUGACGAGGGAAGGAAAAAUUUGAGAGAAAAUCAUCCAUCAAAAUACCACCAAAAAAAAACUCGCUUUCUUCCUUGUAUAGAGGACGACAAUAGUCAAAGAAAUAGGUCUACGGCCGCGGUUUGGUUGUGCAAUUACUUCUCAAGUUUCAUACAUUAUGUUUGUUGUAAAUUUUCGAGCUCAGAAAUUAUCUCAGUUGUGAAAUAUUGGAGAUAUUUUGAAUUUUGCAUAAAGGUUCAUUACUUCCUUUGCCUUCUCAAUUUUGAAUAUUGGAUCCAUAUCUUAAUCAUUCUAUCUCAUUUUGAUAUGUCCUCGUUUUGAUUAUGUGAUAAAGGAUGAAAUGAAUUUGGCUUUAUAAUUUCAGUUUAUGUUUUUAUAUUGAAGGAUUAGUUUUUUGUGAUGAAUUACCAAAUGGGUUUAGAGUGCAUAAUAUUAAUGAGAGUAGUGACUAUCCAUUUAUACGGUGGCAUCUUUUGGUUUAUAAAUCAUUGAAUCUUUUGAAUUCUUUUUGUUUGUUAUUUUAAACCAAUGGAAGUACUAGUGAUAUUAUUUAUUUUCAUGUUGGUAUUUAGAUUACCAUACUGUUUGAAAAUUUGGAAAAAUUGGUGAACAAAUAAGAUGGGAUGUUGGGAAUUUAGCAAAAUUUAGAACAAAUUGACCUUUGAAGUAUU
rnacentral:lncRNA from 1 species